UAAUAGUGUUUUCACAUGGUGCCAAAAAACAUAACAUGACAACUUGGGAAGUCGUAUAAAAAAACAAAACACAUACGGAAAUCUGUCAUGUCAUUUUCACCAUGGCUAGCUUGCAUCGUAAUAAUUGAAAGACAAAUAGCAUUUUUGCAAAAGUAUCUGUACUAAGGUUGACAUAACGUCAUUGCCUUUCAAGAGUUCAUAAAUUCUUAUUUGUCAAUUUAAAGGGUUACUUUGAGAAGUAGAUUCAUCAUUCUUUAUGGCCAUACGUUCAAGGUUCUGUCUUGCCAAAACUCAAAGGCGAGGUAUCACUCUCAAGUACAACGUGAAUGGAUCAACAUGAUAGUAAUAUUCAACAAUCAUCAAAUUCCAAUAGAAUUUAGAUAACUUGCUAGCGUUUAGAGGAAAGGUUUCAACAAUUAUCAGCAUCAACCAAUAUGCAGCCUUCUUUUCAUGGAUAGCUGUCAAGAUUCAUCAUACUUAUGUGAGGCGGCCAACCAAUAUGAAUUUGAUGCAGCAAUCUUCCGAAGGAACAACAUUGCUUGACAAUACGAUCACACUAUGCAUAACCCAAGACAGAAGCACAUGGACAACAAACAAGUGCAUGCCUUUUACGACAUCAACAAGUGAAAGUAAUAUAGUUCACACUCAAGCUCUUGCAACAAUAGAUGGGGAGUCAACUCAUAUUUUCAAGAAUCAAAAGCUAGAAGGACUUUACAUGACAUCACAAAUAUGGCAACUAAUCUUACAAACUAGUUCUCAGAUGUUUGAACCUCAGAUACGAAAUUGGCAUCUUCAAGCAAUACCACUAUUGCUAUGCACAAUCAAAUUUAUUCACAUUCAACAGGUUUGGAAAUUUAUUAUAAGGAUAUACAGUUCUCCUUUGAUUUUAAUGAAAAUGAUGAUUGUGAGUGUUCUGACAUAUAUUCAGCAAAUAGUACAGAUGAAGGUGAUGAUAUUUCUAAUCAAGGGAUGGAGAAUUCUAGCACCUUCAGCAUUAGAAAUGACUACAUGGAUGAAGGAGAUCCUAUAGAAAUAUGUAAUUUUUGUGGAGCUGAACUUUGGUUCGAUGAAAGAGUUGAGAAAGACACCUUUAGAAGGAAUUUAACAUUCUCCAUUUGUUGUCUCAAAGGAAAGGUAGUCUUACCAGCUAUGCAUCCACCUCCCAUGGAAUUGCAAUGUCUAUUUUUUGACAAAAGCUCAAAUGAUUCAAAAAACUUUCAUGCAAAUAUUAGGAAAUAUAACAAUAUGUUUUCAUGUACUUCUAUGGGAGGUGGAAUUAACCAUUCAAUUAAUAAUGGUGGUGGACCAUAUUCUUUUGUGUUGUUAGGAAUUAAUUACCAUAUGAUUAGAAGUUUAUUGCCACCCGAAGGAGCGAAGCUUGUAUUCUGUCAACUAUACGUAUAUGAUACAAAAAAUGAAGUCAGAAAUUGAAUAUCUGCUGUGAGAUGGAUAUCCUUCAUAUCGAAGAAGGGAUGAUGGAAGAACUAUUGAAGUAAAAGUUGCUUCAAGUGGAAUUGCUACAACUUUAUUACCUUUUGGAAGAAUAGCACAUUUAAGGUUGCCUCCACAUAAGGUUAUGUUGAAGGUAGGAGCACCUAUAAUGUUGUUGAGAAAUAUAGACCAAGCAUCUGGACUAUGGUACAAGAUUACGUAUAACUCAGCUUGGAAGAAGUGUUAUUAAAGGCAUAACAUUGAAUGGAUCAAAGCAGAAUGAAAAAGUAUUGAUUCAUCGGAUGGACAUAAAUCCUUCUGAGAGUAGAUGGCCAUUUCAUCUACAACGAAGGCAAUUCUCAAUUACUCUUUCCUUUGCAAUGACUAUUAAUAAAAGUCAAGGUCAAUCACUACGUCAUGUUGGAUUGUAUUUAACAAAGCCUAUCUUCACACAUGGUCAAUUCUAUGUUGCAUUGUCAAGAGUUAAGAGUAUGGAAGGGUUGAAGAUCCUUUUGCAUGAUGGAAAAGGUGUUGAAAAAAUCACAACCAUAAAUUUUGUCUAUAGAGAGAUAUUUAAGAACUUGCAAUGAUCUUUUCACAUGUAAUGCACUUUAGAUUUUGUAUUAGUUAAUUAAUUGUCGUCCAAUAAUGAAAUUUUGGGAAGUGUAUUUUUCAUACAAACUUUAUUGAAAUCUAAGGUGAGGAAUUAUGGUUAACAU